rnacentral:rRNA from 1 species
GACGAACGCUGGUGGCGUGCCUAAUACAUGCAAGUCGAACGAGAGCGACCGGUGCUUGCACUGGUCAAUCUAGUGGCGAACGGGUGAGUAACACGUGGGUAACCUGCCCAUCAGAGGGGGAUAACAUCCGGAAACGGAUGCUAAAACCGCAUAGGUCUUCGAACCGCAUGGUUUGAAGAGGAAAAGAGGCGCAAGCUUCUGCUGAUGGAUGGACCCGCGGUGCAUUAGCUAGUUGGUGAGGUAACGGCUCACCAAGGCCGUGAUGCAUAGCCGACCUGAGAGGGUGAUCGGCCACAUUGGAACGGAGACACGGCCAAAACUCCUACGGGAGGCAGCAGUAGGAAAUCUUCCGCAAUGGACGCAAGUCUGACGGAGCAACGCCGCGUGAGUGAAGAAGGUUUUCGGAUCGUAAAACUCUGUUGUUAGAGAAGAACAAGUGCUAGAGUAACUGUUAGCGCCUUGACGGUAUCUAACCAGAAAGCCACGGCUAACUACGU